rnacentral:lncRNA from 1 species
GGAAGUUCAACAAAUGUGGGAGGCUUAGCUACCUGGUGUAGGGGUGUGAUACCAUGUUUAAGUCAGCUAAGCUACUAUAAUUCCACAUUUAAUGCAUUCAUCCUGAAGAGGUCAGUGUACGUUAUUUUCCGUAUGCUCUCUUUUACAUCUUAACUUUGUGUGGUAGUGCCAUAGCUCCCUAUUCAUCAAGCUUUGCACAUUCUACCCUUAUAUAUGUAAUGAAUUUUUUGAGUAAUUCUAGUCAUUGCUGAAUAACUUAUCGCCUUAUCUAGGACUACCUCCUUUUUUACCCAAAAAAAUUAAAUUGAGUGCUAUUCAUUUGUUUUUGUUGCUUUUUCCGGGUUAUGUAUCCUAUCCUUGUAAAUUAUUCAAAACUUGUGAUGUGAAGGAGAAGGGUAGUCAUUUAUCUUGGAUUCCAGUCAUUGUUUUUGGAAAAAAUUGAAAAUAUAGGAUAAAUGGUAUGAAUGGAAAUAUCAACAGCACGAAAAGUGUGGUUGGAACUUUUGAAUACAUUGAUUGAUGAUAUCUUUUGGUCAAUUAUAGUCACCUCUCAGGUAUAGUAUUGGCCUUUGGGACUACGAAUUGGUUCACUAGAAUAAAGAUUGGGGACAAAUGUGACGUGUCUGUAUAUAUCAAAAGAAAAAAAGUGAUCUGAUUUGUCCAAAGCUGUUGAAAGGCAAAUAAUAGCUCUUUGAACCCAAAAAAAAAACACUGUAAAAGGAAAAGCACAUAACCUUCACAGGCUUUCAAUAUCAUACUAUAAAGCUUUGUUUUUCUCUUCACCCUUUUUCAGAAGGAUAAACAGUGACUUCCUCAUCAGUGUGACCACAUUGUGAAAGCUCCCCUUCCUUUCAAGUGUUGUCCUGGUUGGAACAACUCUGUAUUCUCCCCAACAUAACCCAUAAU